AAANCGACUCUCGGCAACGGAUAUCUCGGCUCUCGCAUCGAUGAAGAACGUAGCGAAAUGCGAUACUUGGUGUGAAUUGCAGAAUCCCGUGAACCAUCGAGUCUUUGAACGCAAGUUGCGCCCUAAGCCAUUUGGCCGAGGGCACGUCUGCCUGGGCGUCAAUC
rnacentral:rRNA from 1 species